rnacentral:rRNA from 1 species
UAAUACGGAGGAUCCAAGCGUUAUCCGGAUUUAUUGGGUUUAAAGGGUGCGUAGGCGGCCUAUUAAGUCAGGGGUGAAAGACGGUGGCUCAACCAUCGCAGUGCCCUUGAUACUGAUGGGCUUGAUUACACUUGAGGUAGGCGGAAUGUGACAAGUAGCGGUGAAAUGCAUAGAUAUGUCACAGAACACCAAUUGCGAAGGCAGCUUACUAAGGUGUCAAUGACGCUGAGGCACGAAAGCGUGGGGAUCAAACAGGAUUAGAUACCCUGGUAGUCCACGCCCUAAACGAUGAAUACUCGAUGUUAGCGAUAUACAGUUAGCGUCAAAGCGAAAGCGUUAAGUAUUCCACCUGGGGAGUACGCCCGCAAGGGU